rnacentral:rRNA from 1 species
CUUCUUAGRGGGACUAUCGGUGUUUAACCGAUGGAAGUUUGAGGCAAUAACAGGUCUGUGAUGCCCCUUAGAUGUUCUGGGCCGCACGCGCGCUACACUGAUGAAGUCAUCGAGUUCAUUUCCUUCAUCGGAAGAUGUGGGUAAUCUUUUGAAACUUCAUCGUGCUGGGGAUAGAGCAUUGCAAUUAUUGCUCUUGAACGAGGAAUCCCUAGUAAGCACAAGUCAUCAGCUUGUGCUGAUUACGUCCCUGCCCUUUGUACACACCGCCCGUCGCUACUACCGAUUGAAUGGCUUAGUGAGGC